AACGAACGCUGGCGGCAUGCCUAACACAUGCAAGUCGAACGAACCCUUCGGGGUGAGUGGCGCACGGGUGCGUAACACGUGGGAACCUGCUCUUAGGUUCGGAAUAACAGUUAGAAAUGACUGCUAAUACCGGAUAAUGUCUUCGGACCAAAGAUUUAUCGCCUUUGGAUGGGCCCGCGUAGGAUUAGCUAGUUGGUGAGGUAAAGGCUCACCAAGGCGACGAUCCUUAGCUGGUCUUAGAGGAUGAUCAGCCACACUGGGACUGAGACACGGCCCAGACUCCUACGGGAGGCAGCAGUGGGGAAUAUUGGACAAUGGGCGAAAGCCUGAUCCAGCAAUGCCGCGUGAGUGAUGAAGGCCUUAGGGUUGUAAAGCUCUUUUACCUGGGAUGAUAAUGACAGUACCAGGAGAAUAAGCCCCGGCUAACUCCGUGCCAGCAGCCGCCGCAGUAA
rnacentral:rRNA from 1 species